rnacentral:piRNA from 1 species
UCNCCAUGUGGCGAUGUGACUUGCAGAUGC